GACGAACGCUGGCGGCGUGCUUAACACAUGCAAGUCGAACGGAAAGGCCCUGCUUUUGUGGGGUGCUCGAGUGGCGAACGGGUGAGUAACACGUGAGUAAACUGCCCUUGUCUUUGGGAUAACUUCAGGAAACUGGGGCUCAUAUCGGAUAGGAGCUCCUGCUGCAUGGGGGGGGUUGGAAAGUUUCGGCGGUUGGGGAUGGAAUCGAGGCUUAUCAGCUUGUUGGUGGGGUAGUGGCUUACCAAGGCUUUGACGGGUAGCCGGCCUGAGAGGGUGACCGGCCACAUUGGGCCUGAGGUACGGACCAGACUCCUACGGGAGGCAGCAGUGGGGAAUAUUGCACAAUGGGCGGAAGCCUGAUGCAGCAACGCCGCGUGCGGGAUGACGGCCUUCUGGUUGUAAACCGCUUUCGCCUGUGACGAAGCGUGAGUGACGGUAAUGGGUAAAGAAGCACCGGCUAACUACGUG
rnacentral:rRNA from 1 species